rnacentral:piRNA from 1 species
UGGUGGAGAACAACGAACGGGUGUUU